rnacentral:rRNA from 1 species
UAUGGAGGGCGCAAGCGUUGUUCGGAAUUACUGGGCGUAAAGCGCGUGUAGGUGGCUUGGCAAGUCGGGUGUGAAAUCCCGGAGCUCAACUCCGGAACUGCAUCCGAUACUGCCAAGCUCGAGUCUCGGAGAGGACGGCGGAAUUUCCGGUGUAGAGGUGAAAUUCGUAGAUAUCGGAAGGAACACCAGUGGCGAAGGCGGCCGUCUGGACGAUGACUGACACUGAGACGCGAAAGCGUGGGGAGCAAACAGG